GACGAACGCUGGCGGCGUGCUUAACACAUGCAAGUCGAACGGUAAGGCCCUUCGGGGUACACGAGUGGCGAACGGGUGAGUAACACGUGGGUGAUCUGCCCUGCACUUCGGGAUAAGCCUGGGAAACUGGCUCUCAUACCGGAUAGGACUCCUGGCUUCCUGGUUGGGGGUGGAAAGCUUUUGCGGGGUGGGAUGGGCCCGCGGCCUAUCAGCUUGUUGGUGGGGUAAUGGCCUACCAAGGCGCCGACGGGUAGCCGGCCUGAGAGGGUGACCGGUCACACUGGGACUGAGAUACGGCCCAGACUCCUACGGGAGGCAGCAGUGGGGAAUAUUGCACAAUGGGCGCGAGCCUGAUGCAGCGACGCCGCGUGAGGGAUGACGGCCUUCGGGUUGUAAACCUCUUUCAGCUAUGACGAAGCGCAAGUGACGGUAGUAGCAGAAGAAGGACCGGCCAACUACGUGCCAGCCGCCGCCGUAA
rnacentral:rRNA from 1 species